UACAGAGGUCCCAAGCGUUACUGAGAAUCACUGGGUUUAAAGGGUGCGUAGGUGGUCCGUUAAGUCAGUUGUGAAAUCCCCAGGCUUAACCUGGGAACUGCAUUCGAGACUGCAUUGCUAGAGUAUGGGAGAGGGAAGUGGAAUUUCCGGUGUAGCGGUGAAAUGCGUAGAUAUCGGAAGGAACAUCAGUGGCGAAAGCGACUUCCUGGACCAAUACUGACGCUCAUGUGCGAAAGCGUGGGGAGCAAACAGG
rnacentral:rRNA from 1 species